UGAGUUCCGCAGCUCUGGGUGAGAAUUCCGAACGACGGUUGAAACUUCCAGGAAAAAACUUCGAAUUGGGAGGGCGAUCCUCCCGGUGAACUGACCGUACCCCAAACCGACACAGGUGAACAAGUAGAGUAUACUAGGGCGCGUCGAGAGAACCAUGUCGAAGGAACUCGGCAAAAUGACCCCGUAACUUCGGGAGAAGGGGUAUCCCUUUUUUACUCAAUCCAGAAUACCGAUAAAGUCAGAUUGAAUCAUUUUGUCGACCUUUCACGCCUAGGACGGUCUUUCACACGGAAGUAAGAU
rnacentral:ncRNA from 1 species